AGCCGGGCGGUGGACACAGAGCGAACUAUUCUUUCGCCUUUUACUAAAGAAUACCGUGUGCACGCCGCGCGCACCGGCAUACGCCUAUUUUUGGAGGAGUUUCUCUUUGUUGAGAAAU